rnacentral:lncRNA from 1 species
CAGACGCAUUUACCGAUUUGAAAAGGAUAACUAAGUCACAUAUCCCAGCAGAGAAUGUGCCUAUCUGAAUUGAUGUCCCAGUAGGACCCACCUACUAGAAUGAGAGCUAGUGAACCUAAAGCACACCUGAAGCGUGUAGGACUUUGGGUUCUAAGGAUCGAAAUCCUUGUCACACCCCUUUUUUAACAAAACACCACUUAAACCCUCUUAAAUAAAUAAAAGGAUUUAUGUGAAGCUUAGAAAGGAUUUUUCAAUUGAAAAGUGACAAAAAUUCUGUUUCAAGAGGAAAUAAACUCAGAGUCGCCACCUGACAUUCGUUUUAUUGUGCCAGGUCACCAUUUUUAUAAAAAUAAUUUUUCCUUUUAAAACAUUUCAGACUCUAAAACCAAUUCUACACUAGAGAUUUGGGUAAGGGGGUUCAUUUGACUCAGGGAGAAGGUGUUAGGCACUCCCCAAGUCCCGCAACUAGUG